rnacentral:rRNA from 1 species
UACGUAGGGUGCAAGCGUUUAAUCGGAAUUACUGGGCGUAAAGCGUACGCAGGCGGCUUUGCAAGACAGGUGUGAAAUCCCCGGGCCUAACCUGGGAACUGCAUUUGUGACUGCAUGGCUAGAGUUUGUCAGAGGGGGGGUGGAAUUCCACGUGUAGCAGUGAAAUGCGUAGAUAUGUGGAGGAACACCGAUGGCGAAGGCAGCCCCCUGGGAUGUGACUGACGCUCAUGUACGAAGGCUAGGGUAGCGAACGGG